GGGGGGGGGGGGGGGGGGGGGGGGGGGGGGGGGGGGGGGGGGGGGGCGGGGUCCGGUGUGGGGGGGGGGGGUGAGUGGCGGACGGGUGAGGGACGCGUGAGUAACCGGCCCCCUUCUUCUGGAUAACCGCAGGCAAGUGUGGCUAAUACGGGAUAGUCUGGGUCUGUCGCAUGAUGGGUCUGGGGGCGCUGUUGUGUCGGUGGGGGGUGGGCUCGCGGCCUAUCAGCGUGUUGGUGGGGUGAUGGCCUACCCAGGCGGUGACGGGUAGCCGGCCUGAGAGGGUGGACGGUCGUACUGGGACUGAGACACGGCCCAGACUCCUACGGGCGGCAGCGGUGGGGAAUAUUGCACAAUGGGCGCAAGCCUGAUGCAGCGACGCCGCGGGAGGGAUGGAGGCCUUCGGGUUGUGAACCUCUUUCGCCAGUGAAGCAGGCCUGCCUCGUUUGUGGGUGGGUUGACGGUAGCUGGAGAAGAAGCGCCGGCUAACUACGUG
rnacentral:rRNA from 1 species